CAUGUACCAGAACUCAUACCAACUAUCCUACUCUGCUGCAGCACUGGAUGAAACCUCAUUGGAUGCAGAGACUGCAGAAUCUGUAAAUUUGGAUGAAUGGCGAGCAGUACGUUCCCAGCAAGACGAAGAAUAUAAUGCUUCCUUGUUGGCAGACCAAGAAAAGGCAAUU